rnacentral:rRNA from 1 species
GCCCAGACUCCUACGGGAGGCAGCAGUGAGGAAUAUUGGUCAAUGGGCGGGAGCCUGAACCAGCCAAGUCGCGUGAGGGAUGACGGCCCAUGGGUUGUAAACCUCUUUUGCCGGGGAGCAAAGUGCCGCACGUGUGCGGUUUGGAGAGUACCCGGAGAAAAAGCAUCGGCUAACUCCGUGCCAGCAGCCGCGGUAAUACGGAGGAUCCGAGCGCUAUCCGGAUUUAUUGGGUUUAAAGGGAGCGUAGAUGGGUUGUUAAGUCAGUUGUGAAAGUUUGCGGCUCAACCGUAAAAUUGCAAUUGAUACUGGCAGUCUUGAGUACAGUUGAGGUAGGCGGAAUUCGUGGUGUAGCGGUGAAAUGCUUAGAUAUCACGAAGAACCCCGAUUGCGAAGGCAGCUUACUAAACUGUGACUGACAUUGAUGCUCGAAAGUGUGGGUAUCAAACAGGAUUAGAUACCCUGGUAA